rnacentral:rRNA from 1 species
GNGACUAGAGUUUGAUCAUGGCUCAGAACGAACGCUGGCGGCGUGCCUAACACAUGCAAGUCGAACGAGAAAGCCCUUCGGGGUGAGUAGAGUGGCGCACGGGUGAGUAACACGUAGGUGAUCUGCCUUUCGGUGGGGGAUAACCAGAAGAAAUUCUGGCUAAUACCGCAUACGUACAACCGACUUGAAGGUGGUUGUAGAAAGGGUGCCUCUCCUUGGAAGCACUUACCGAUAGAGGAGCCUGCGGAACAUUAGCUUGAUGGUGGGGUAAAGGCCUACCAUGGCAACGAUGUCUAACUGGUCUGAGAGGAUGAUCAGUCACACUGGAACUGAGACACGGUCCAGACUCCUACGGGAGGCAGCAGUGGGGAAUAUUGCGCAAUGGGGGAAACCCUGACGCAGCAACGCCGCGUGAGUGAGGAAGGCCCUCGGGUCGUAAAGCUCUGUCAAAUGGGAAGAACGGUACAUUGUCUAAUAGGCAGUGUAUUUGACGGUACCAUUAAAGGAAGCACCGGCUAACUUCGUGCCAGCAGCCGCGGUAAUACGAAGGGUGCAAGCGUUGUUCGGAUUUAUUGGGCGUAAAGCGCGCGCAGGCGGACAGUUAAGCCAGAUGUGAAAUCCCGGGGCUCAACCCCGGAACUGCGUCUGGAACUGGUUGUCUAGAAUCUCGGAGGGGGAAGGAGAAUUUCGCAUGUAGGGGUAAAAUCCGUAGAGAUGCGAAGGAAUACCAGAGGCGAAGGCGCCCUUCCUGGACGAGUAUUGACGCUGAGGCGCGAAAGCGUGGGGAGCAAACAGGAUUAGAUACCCUGGUAGUCCACGCCGUAAACGAUGUGCACUAAUAUUGGGGCCUUUGACCGUUCCAUGUCGCACUAACGCAUUAAGUGCACCGCCUGGGGAGUACGGUCGCAAGACUAAAACUCAAAGGAUUGACGGGGGCCCGCACAACGUGGAUUAU